UACGUAGGUGGCAAGCGUUAUCCGGAAUUAUUGGGCGUAAAGCGCGCGCAGGCGGUUUCUUAAGUCUGAUGUGAAAGCCCACGGCUCAACCGUGGAGGGUCAUUGGAAACUGGGGAACUUGAGUGCAGAAGAGAAAAGCGGAAUUCCACGUGUAGCGGUGAAAUGCGUAGAGAUGUGGAGGAACACCAGUGGCGAAGGCGGCUUUUUGGUCUGUAACUGACGCUGAGGCGCGAAAGCGUGGGGAGCGAACGGG
rnacentral:rRNA from 1 species